rnacentral:rRNA from 1 species
UACAGAGGUCCCAAGCGUUGUUCGGAUUCAUUGGGCGUAAAGGGCGCGUAGGCGGCUUGGCAAGUGGAAGGUGAAAUCCCUCGGCUUAACCGAGGAACUGCCCUCCAGACUGCUUUGCUUGAGGCCGGGAGAGGUGAGUGGAAUUCCCAGUGUAGCGGUGAAAUGCGUAGAUAUUGGGAGGAACACCAGUGGCGAAGGCGGCUCACUGGACCGGUUCUGACGCUGAGGCGCGAAAGCGUGGGGAGCAAACGGG